GCUCCUUUAGCUCAGUGGUAGAGCGGGAGAUUGCAGAUCUUCAGGUCGCUCGUUCGAACCGGGCAGGGAGCUU
rnacentral:tRNA from 1 species